AACGAACGCUGGCGGCAGGCCUAACACAUGCAAGUCGAGCGCGCCCUUCGGGGUGUUCGGCGGAUGGGGGUGUCACGCGUGGGAACGUUCCCUUUUCUACGGAAUAGCCUCGGGAAACGGAGAGUAAUACCGUAUACGCCCUUUUGGGGAAUGAUUUAUCGGAAAAGGAGCGGCCCGCGUUGGAUUCGGUGGUUGUGGGGGUAAUGGCCUCCCACGCGGACGAUCCAUAGAUGGUUUGAGAGGAUGAUCAGCCACACUGGGACUGAGAGACGGCCCAGACUCCUACGGGAGGCAGCAGUGGGGAAUCUUAGACAAUGGGGGCAACCCUGAUCGAGCCAUGCCGCGUGAGUGAUGAAGGCCUUAGGGUUGUAAAGCUCUUUCAGCUGGGAAGAUAAUGACGGUACCAGCAGAAGAAGCCCCGGCUAACUCCGUG
rnacentral:rRNA from 1 species